rnacentral:rRNA from 1 species
UACGUAGGCAGCGAGCGUUGUUCGGAGUUACUGGGCGUAAAGGGUGUGUAGGCGGUUGUUUAAGUUUGGUGUGAAAUCUCCCGGCUCAACUGGGAGGGUGCGCCGAAUACUGAAUGACUUGGAGUGCGGGAGAGGUGAGUGGAAUUCCCGGUGUAGCGGUGAAAUGCGCAGAUAUCGGGAGGAACACCCGUAGCGAAGGCGGCACUCUGGGCCGGUACUGACGCUGAGGAGCGAAAGCGUGGGGAGCAAACAGG